ensembl:rRNA 5S_rRNA 5S ribosomal RNA
GUCUAUAGCCAUACCAUCCUAACCAUGCCUGAUUUUGUCUGAUUUUGGAAGAUAACCAGGGCCAGCCAGUCCUGGUAAUUUAUUGGAUGGGAGACUACCUGGGAAUACCAGGAGCUGUAAGCA